UCCUUCAUUCCACCGGAGUCUGUGUAGUUGUUCAAUCAGAUUUCAGUGGUGUGAAGUGUA
rnacentral:pre_miRNA from 3 species